UCUCCGUUGGUGAACCAGCGGAGGGAUCAUUACAGAGUUAUCCAACUCCCAAACCCAUGUGAACUUAUCUCUUUGUUGCCUCGGCGCAGGCUGGGAGCUUCUGUAAACUCCCCCACGCGGACUCGCCUCCGCGCGGGGCAGGCCCGCCGGCGGCCCCUACCAAACCUCUUGUUUUUACAGUGUCUCCUCUGAGUUACAAACACAAAUGAAUCAAAACUUUCAACAACGGAUCUCUUGGUUCUGGCAUCGAUGAAGAACGCGGC
rnacentral:misc_RNA from 1 species